rnacentral:hammerhead_ribozyme from 1 species
GCACUGCUGACGAGUUCCAAACAGGACGAAACAACUGUGCAGUGC